CAUCUUGAACCAAGAAGAGACUACAAUUAUAGAGCAAACCCUAGCUUUU
rnacentral:sRNA from 1 species